GUUGGGAUAGCUCAGUCAAUAGAGCGUGAGACUCUUAAUCUCAGGGUCAUGGGGAUUAGACUCAAUGACUCUUGUGGUCCCUUCCAACU